rnacentral:rRNA from 1 species
ACUCAAAUGAAUUGACGGGGACCCGCACAAGCGGUGGAGCAUGUUCUUUAAUUCGAUGGUAAGCGAAGAACCUUACCAGGGUUUGACAUCCUUGGAAUUUUGGCGAAAGCCGAGAGUGCCUUCGGGAGCCAAGUGACAGGUGUUGCAUGGCCGUCGUCAGCUCGUGUCGUGAGAUGUUUGGUUAAGUCCAUCAACGAGCGCAACCCUUAUGAUUAGUUGAAUUUUUCUAAUCAGACUGCCCCGGUAACGGGGAGGAAGGAGGGGAUGAUGUCAGGUCAGUAUUACCCUUACACCCUGGGCUAGAAACGUGCUACAAUGGCCGGUACAAAGCGCAGCUAAGUCGCGAGACGGAGCAAAUCGCAUCAAAGCCGGUCCCAGUUCAGAUUGCAGGCUGAAACUCGCCUGCAUGAAGUCGGAAUCGCUAGUAAUCGCAGGUCAGCACACUGCGGUGAAUACGUUCCCGGGUCUUGUACACACCGCCCGU